GGUUGGCGUGGUAACGACGAGCAUCGACUGACGACGGGAUUUUAAGGACGACUUCAUUCCUGUGGGUGGGAUUAAUGUAAAGGAGCUUAACGUCGCCGAUAAAGGUGGCCGCGAAUUUUGACGUCGUUCGAUCGGCGACUAAUAGCGGUGGGUCCUUGGCAACCAAACACACAGAAGCGAAUGUAUGUGCGCGUUGCUGUGCGUGUGUGGUCGGAAAUCCUGGUCUGAUGAUGGAACAACCAGUCCCCAAACAAAAUCUUGAACCGCUGGCGAAUCCACCACUACCAGUCGCCCUUCUUCU